GUUCAUGUAGCUUAUAAUAUUAAAGCAAGGCACUGAAAAUGCCUAGAUGAGUUUUCGAACUCCAUAAACA
rnacentral:tRNA from 1 species